CCUACGGGAGGCAGCAGUGGGGAAUCUUGCGCAAUGGGCGAAAGCCUGACGCAGCCAUGCCGCGUGAAUGAUGAAGGUCUUAGGAUUGUAAAAUUCUUUCACCGGGGACGAUAAUGACGGUACCCGGAGAAGAAGCCCCGGCUAACUUCGUGCCAGCAGCCGCGGUAAUACGAAGGGGGCUAGCGUUGCUCGGAAUUACUGGGCGUAAAGGGAGCGUAGGCGGAUAGUUUAGUCAGAGGUGAAAGCCCAGGGCUCAACCUUGGAAUUGCCUUUGAUACUGGCUAUCUUGAGUACGGAAGAGGUAUGUGGAACUCCGAGUGUAGAGGUGAAAUUCGUAGAUAUUCGGAAGAACACCAGUGGCGAAGGCGACAUACUGGUCCGUUACUGACGCUGAGGCUCGAAAGCGUGGGGAGCAAACAGGAUUAGAUACCCUGGUAGUCCACGCUGUAAACGAUGAGUGCUAGUUGUCGGCAUGCAUGCAUGUCGGUGACGCAGCUAACGCAUUAAGCACUCCGCCUGGGGAGUACGGUCGCAAGNUUAAAACUCAAAUGAAUUGACGGCUGAGAGNGCGAGCGACACGAGGGAGGAGG
rnacentral:rRNA from 1 species